UUCCCGUAAGAGAAAAAAGUUUCCUCGGCGGCCCACCUUAUCCACUUCCCUCCCCAUCCUCCCAUGAUCCCUUCCCCACCAACGUCCCGCCGCCACCUCUCAGGCUCUGGCGCGCCUCCCGUCGCCCCCUCCAUCGGCCCGGACGCGCCUCCGCCGCCGCCCACCCUGGCUCCGAUGCGCCUCCACUGCCGCCAACCCUCGCCCCGACAAGCCUCCGCCGCCCCCCACCCUGGCCCCGACGCGCCUACGCCGCCGCCGAGGCCUCGACCUAAUCCCCACGCCCCCUCUAACCUCCCCUGUUAGCGCCACCCCGGCCUCCAUCACAGGUAACAGGCGCCGCCGCCACCACCUUCCUGCCCGGCAACAAGCACUGCCGCCCCCACCUCCCUCCGGCGGAGGAAGCACAGCUGCCCCCAUCUCCCUCCCCGGCAGACGCGCCACCGACCUCACCUCCCUCCCCGGCAGAUGCGCCGUCGUGCUCCACCUCCUGGCUGGGCCGCCGCAUGCCUCCACCUCCAGGCUUCCCGACGACCCCGUUCGAUCCAGCCCCAGUUGGUUCAAGAUGUAUCCGGCGCCUCCCUGCAGAUACUUCAAUACAUAGAAAUAGUGCCCUGCCAUCCUCCCUGCUCUGCUAGGGCCCGACGACGCGUUCCACCAUAUCCUCCCCGCGUCGAAAGCACUCAUCGGGAGCUCCACACUGUCGGGCAUCCCCCAUGUAGCAGAGGGCGCCUCCCUUCGGCAGUCCAACCCCAACGCGUGCCGCUAGCCAACCUGCAUCAGCACCGCGGAGCAAUCCUCCCCUCAACCCCCUCCUAUCCCACUGCACAACAGCGGCAAGAACCAGCUGUGGCUAUUUUUGUAGUGUGAUUUUUGUGUAAAAAAGCACACAACACGCUGGAGUCCGCUGUGCUGCUGAUCCACUCAAAUACAGUAGCAACAUCCGUGGAGCUCUUCUCGCGACAGGGAGCCUACAGCGGAACCGGAGUGGUUCAGGGGCAUAUCGAGCAGACUCUUUGACCCAGAGGUUUAUUUGUCCCCUUGUGAAGAGGCAGAGCAGAGUGUUUCUCGCCGAGCGAGCGAGCGAUCGAUGCAUGCACGUCAAGUCGCCUGCAGCAGAUAAACACAAGCGAAGGUUCAGACGACUGUCUGUUCGCCGUGCCAGGAUUCACUCGUGCUGCUUUUGUAAAGGCUCCAGAACUGCUACUCCAAGGUAAGAUCGAUAGGAUGAAACUAUGGGCAGCAAGCAGCAGUUACCUGUUCAGACGAGUGGUAUAAGCUGACUCCAACAAGGCACUAAAUUUUAUGAUUUGGUCCUUCUAAACUGUGUGGUGUAGGCUAUGGCAGCAGCACCAUUUUCCUCUUAAUUGUAACUUUUGUGUUUCUGCUACUGCUAACAGAGGAGAAGAAUGGCCAGCACCGAGCCACUUCUGCUACUGCUUGUGAUUGCUUGCACAACUUACCAAGAAGAAGACAAAACGAAAAAAAUGAAGGAGUUAAAGAGAUAAAAAAGUAGUGUGCAUACAUGGUGUGGAUAAGAAACGUGUGGUGUUUGAGAGGAUAAGGAAUGUAUGCUACUAUUCAAUGAUAAAACUAGGAAACAUUCUAUUUGACUAGUGCUCAGAGUCAACUAUAAAGCUUGUAUUUUUAAACUCUGAUUCACACUAGAACUUUAUAAAAAAGAAUUCAAAUUUA